rnacentral:tRNA from 2 species
GCGCGGUUAGCUCAGUGGUAGAGCGUUUGCUCGACACGCAAAAGGCCAUAGGUUCGAUCCCUAUACCGCGCACCA